CCUACGGGGGGCAGCAGUAGGGAAUAUUGCUCAAUGGGGGAAACCCUGAAGCAGCAACGCCGCGUGGAGGAUGAAGGUUUUCGGAUUGUAAACUCCUUUUGUUAAAGAAGAUAAUGACGGUAUCUAACGAAUCAGCACAGUCUAACUCCGUUCCAGCAGCCGCGGUAAUACGGAGGGUGCAAGCGUUAUUCGGAGUCACUGGGCGUAAAGAGAGCGUAGGGGGGAUAGCAAGUCAGAUGUGAAAGCCUAGGGGUUAACCAUAGAACUGCAUUUGAAACUGUUAUUCUAGAGUAGAGGAGAGGUAGGUGGAAUUCUUGGUGUAGCGGUAAAAUCCGUAGAGAUCAAGAGGAAUACUCAUUGCGAAGGCGACCUGCUAGAACAUAACUGACGCUGAUGCGCGAAAGCGUGGGGAGCAAACAGGAUUAGAUACCCCUGUAGUC
rnacentral:rRNA from 1 species